CUGGUAGUAAAUGAAUGGCUCUCCAGGGCCACAUCAUUCUGGAACUGUGCCAGUAAACAAGCUAGGAGGCAAGGACGCUUGGUGAACUGACCGACCAGAGGGACCACUUGAUCGAGAGUUCCUCGAGGGGGGGGCUCCUCAUCGGACUCAAUGUUGUCUCUGCAGACCAAGACUCGAUUGGUGGUUUCUGGGAAGCUGGCUAAACAGACCUAAAAGCUGCAGAAAGCAAGAGGAGCCUCAGCAGGCACUCCAGGCUGCCAGCCUACAGGAAUCGUGCCAAGUGGUGAGAUUUCUGGCAACACCUCAGGCUGCUGAGAGAGUUAACUGGGAGCCAGGACCAUUACCGACAUUUCCUAAAUGCUCUCAGGUUGAUCACAUAGG